AGUGAGAGGUAAAAUCUUAUACUGAGUGAACAUACGUAUAUCACAAAUUUCGUCACUAGCAGCAAGCGAAUCGUGGCUUAGCGGUCAGAGCGUCGG